AUUGAACGCUGGCGGCAGGCCUAACACAUGCAAGUCGAACGAGUGGCGGACGGGUGAGUAAUGUCUGGGAAACUGCCUGAUGGAGGGGGAUAACUACUGGAAACGGUAGCUAAUACCGCAUACCAUCAGAUGUGCCCAGAUGGGAUUAGCUAGUUGUUGGGGUAACGGCUCACCCAGGCGACGAUCCCUAGCUGGUCUGAUAGGAUGACCAGCAAAACUGGAACUGAGAAACGGUCGAGACUCCUACGGGAGGUAGAAGUGGGGAAGAUUGCACAAUGGGCGCAAGCCUGAUGCAGCCAUGCCGCGGGUAUGAAGAAGGCCUUCGGGUUGUAAAGUACUUUCAGCGGGGAGGCGUUACCCGCAGAAGAAGCACCGGCUAACUCCGUGCCAGCAGCCGCGGUAAUAC
rnacentral:rRNA from 1 species